rnacentral:rRNA from 1 species
CCUACGGGAGGCAGCAGUGAGGAAUAUUGGUCAAUGGGCGCGAGCCUGAACCAGCCAAGUAGCGUGAAGGAUGACUGCCCUACGGGUUGUAAACUUCUUUUAUAAAGGAAUAAAGUGAGGCACGUGUGCCUUUUUGUAUGUACUUUAUGAAUAAGGAUCGGCUAACUCCGUGCCAGCAGCCGCGGUAAUACGGAGGAUCCGAGCGUUAUCCGGAUUUAUUGGGUUUAAAGGGAGCGUAGAUGGGUUGUUAAGUCAGUUGUGAAAGUUUGCGGCUCAACAGUAAAAUUGCAAUUGAUACUGGAAGACUUGAGUACAGUUGAGGUAGGCGGAAUUCGUGGUGUAGCGGUGAAAUGCUUAGAGAUCACGAAGAACACCGAUUGCGAAGGCAGCUUACUAAACUGCCACUGACAUUGAGGCUCGAAAGUGUGGGUAGCAAACAGGAUUAGAUACCCGAGUAGUC